CUGCUGCAGCCCUACUCGUCGUUCGACACUUGCUCCGGUGCCUUUGAACGAGCAAUCGGGCGUUGGAUGUGGAGUCUCGUGCGACGAAAAUAUUCUCGAGCCAGAUUCAAAAGAAAGGACUUUCAUUUGACACUAAUGAUGAGUUUAAAAGAAGCAUUUAUGAAUUAUGGUGAAGUUGUUGAUGUGCAUCAUUGGCAGGGAAAGUGGAAGGUCUAGAGGGUUUUGGUUUUGUGAUUUUUAUAUCUAGCGAAGAAGCUUCAGCUAUAAUCAGUGACAUGGAUGGGAAGG